AGUUUGAUCCUGGCUCAGAUUGAACGCUGGCGGGAUGCUUUACACAUGCAAGUCGAACGGCAGCACGGACUUCGGUCUGGUGGCGAGUGGCGAACGGGUGAGUAAUGUAUCGGAACGUGCCUUAGUAGCGGGGGAUAACUACGCGAAAGCGUUACCACGCGCACGCCCUUCGGGGAAAGCGGGGACCUUCGGGCCUCGCACUAUUAGAGCGGCCGAUAUCGGAUUAGCUAGUUGGUGGGUAACGGCUCACCAAGGCGACGAUCCGUAGCUGGUUUGAGAGGACGACCAGCCACACUGGGACUGAGACACGGCCCAGACUCCUACGGGAGGCAGCAGGGAAUUUUGGACAAUGGGAAACCCUGAUCCAGCCAUCCCGCGUGUGCGAUGAAGCGUACCGGGUUGUAAAGCACUUUUGGCAGGAAAGAAACGGCACGGGAUAAUACCCCGUGCAACUGAUUUGGUACCUGCAGAAUAAGCACCGGCUAACUACGUGCCAGCAGCCGCGUAAUACGUAGGGUGCAAGCGUUAAUCGGAAUUACUGGGCGUGAAGCGUGCGCAGGCGGUUUGAAAGAAAGAUGUGAAAUCCCAGAGCUUAACUUUGGAACUGCAUUUUUAACUACCGAGCUAGAGGUGUCAGAGGAGGUGAAUUCGCGUAGCAGUGAAAUGCGUAGAUAUGCGGAGGAACACCGAUGGCGAAGGCAGCCUCCCGGGAUAACACUGACGCUCAUGCACGAAAGCGUGGGGAGCAAACAGGAUUAGAUACCUCUGGUAGUCCACGCCCCAAACGAUGUCAACUAGCUGUUGGGGCCUUCGGGCCUUGGUAGCGCAGCUAACGCGUGAAGUUGACCGCCUGGGGAGUACGGUCGCAAGAUUAAACUCAAAGGAAUUGAUUGGGACCCGCACAAGCGGUGGAUGAUGUGGAUUAAUUCUGAUGCAACGCGAAAACCCUACCUACCCUUGAUGUAUGUCUGGAAUCCCGAAGAGAUUUGGGAGUGCUCGCAAGAGAACCGGAACACAGGUGCUGCAUGGCUGUCGUCAGCUCGUGUCGUGAGAUGUUGCCAAGUCCCGCAACGAGCGCAACCCUUGUCAUUAGUUGCUACGAAAGGGCACCCUAAUGAGACUGCCGGUGACAAACCGGAGGAAGGUGGGGAAGACGUCAAGUCCUCAUGGCCCUUAUGGGUAGGGCUUCACACGUCAUACAAUGGUCGGGACAGAGGGUCGCCAACCCGCGAGGGGAGCCAAUCCCAGAAACCCGAUCGUAGUCCGAUCGCAGUCUGCAACUCGACUGCGUGAAGUCGGAAUCGCUAGUAAUCGCGGAUCAGCAUGUCGCGGUGAAUACGUUCCCGGGUCUUGUACACACCGCCCGUCACACCAUGGGAGUGGGUUUUACCAGAAGUAGUUACUCACCGUAAGGAGGGCGAUUACCACGGUAGGAUUCAUGACUGGGGGGAAGUCGUAACAAGGUAACUCUGCGCCGUCAUUCGAUGC
rnacentral:rRNA from 1 species